rnacentral:misc_RNA from 1 species
GAUGAAGAACGUAGCGAAAUGCGAUAACUAAUGUGAAUUGCAGAAUUCAGUGAAUCAUCGAGUCUUUGAACGCACAUUGCGCCCCCUGGUAUUCCGGGGGGCAUGCCUGUCCGAGCGUCAUUGCUGCCCUCAAGCACGGCUUGUGUGUUGGGCUCUGUCCCCCCGGGGACGGGCCCGAAAGGCAGCGGCGGCACCGAGUCCGGUCCUCGAGCGUAUGGGGCUUUGUCACCCGCUCUGUAGGCCCGGCCGGCGCCAGCCGACAACCCAUCAUCCUUUUCAGGUUGACCUCGGAUCAGGUAGGGAUACCCGCUGAACUUAAGCAUAUCAAUAAGCGGAGGA